CUCUCCAGGCCUCAGACCCCCGGCCCAGCACCCCAAUGACAUGGGAGGAGUUCUCAGUGGGCCCUUUCAGCUCCCACCAUCCCAGCCUGGAAAGCUCUCCUCUUCCUUCUAUCUGGACAAAGCUAUGAGGACCGGCCUAGGCACCUCCUCCUGCCACUCCUCCGGCCUCACUCAUCUCCUAUCUGCACAGCAGGAUGGCCUUUUAUUUUCUUUGAAUUUUUUUUCAUUUGGGGAAAUCACAGGGGUCAGCACAUCCAGAGUGCAAUGGAUAAGCCUCGCCCUGGGAAAACCACCUUCGUGAUCAUAGUAUCUCCCCUGCCAGAAAAGGAAGUGUGGACAUGGAAGGAGACCCCAGGGGUGCACGUGCACAGAGGGAUGACCGUGUGAGGAGGCAGUAGGAGGACAGCCGUCUGCAAGCAGGGACAGAAGCCUCAGGAGAAACCAACCUUGCUGGCACCUCGGUCUUAGAUGCCCAGAUUCCAGAACUGUUAGAAAAUAAAUUUCUAUUGUUGAAACCACCCAGCCUGUGGUAUUUUGCAAUGACAGUCCUGGCAAAAUAAUACAGUCCUUCAGAGGCACCUAUUCUUUCUGCCUUUAAUUUGCUUUGGCUUUGUUUUAUGUGUGGCCUUGUUUCAUUUGCUUGUAAAUGACUUGAGGGCGACAUCCAGGAAGGAGUAUCUUUUCCUGUGUCCCCACAGGGUGCAGUUCAAUGCCAGGCACAAAGUGCACAGAAUCAGACCUUUGUCCUCACUGCCAGCUUUGUCGACCUGCUGACAAGGGUCAGGGGGACCCAAGCUGCUAUCCACCCAGGGUGCUUUUCAAAAUUCAAGUCAUGGAAAUAAUUUAGGGAGCCACUUGAGUACUUUUUGGAAAUAAUGAGACAGAAGAGCAGAUAAUAGAAAAUGCCAGCGUGUUUCUCAGGCAGUAAAAGUGUUACUUCAUGCAACUUUGUUUGAUUUUACAUAUUUAUAAAUAAACAGAAUAAUUACAAAU
rnacentral:lncRNA from 1 species